GGGGGCGACAGGUUUCGACGGGGAUUUGUGAGGUCCAGGCUGCGUCUCGAGGUUUCUCUCCCCUCGUUAAUAAGAGAGAACGGUAUAGCUGCCAACACACAGCUAGCUCUGGCGGCCUAACACCCGUCAGCGUCCGCCGGCUCGAGCCAUCAGGGACCGGGAACGGACGUCAUAUUCUGGUGGCUGGCUCCGAACCUGGCCUCAGGGGAGGGGCGAGACUUUGAGGCUGGCCGCGCGGUGAUCCGGCCGAUCGGAGUGCCGCGUAGCGAGAAGCAGUAAAGUAGAUCGGCUAUCGACGUAGACGCCUGCGGCUGAGGGUUUCCGGACGUGGGUUCGAUUCCCACCGCCUCCACCA
rnacentral:tmRNA from 1 species